GUAGCUGUAGUAUAAUUGGUAAGGCAUUUGCGUACUAAACAUAAAUUGUAGAUUUAAGUCCUACCGGCUAUA
rnacentral:tRNA from 1 species